AGAGUUUGAUCAUGGCUCAGAUUGAACGCUGGCGGCAGGCCUAACACAUGCAAGUCGAGCGGUAGAGAGAAGCUUGCUUCUCUUGAGAGCGGCGGACGGGUGAGUAAUGCCUAGGAAUCUGCCUGGUAGUGGGGGAUAACGUUCGGAAACGGACGCUAAUACCGCAUACGUCCUACGGGAGAAAGCAGGGGACCUUCGGGCCUUGCGCUAUCAGAUGAGCCUAGGUCGGAUUAGCUAGUUGGUGAGGUAAUGGCUCACCAAGGCGACGAUCCGUAACUGGUCUGAGAGGAUGAUCAGUCACACUGGAACUGAGACACGGUCCAGACUCCUACGGGAGGCAGCAGUGGGGAAUUUUGGACAAUGGGCGCAAGCCUGAUCCAGCCAUGCCGCGUGUGUGAAGAAGGUCUUCGGAUUGUAAAGCACUUUAAGUUGGGAGGAAGGGCAGUUACCUAAUACGUGAUUGUUUUGACGUUACCGACAGAAUAAGCACCGGCUAACUCUGUGCCAGCAGCCGCGGUAAUACAGAGGGUGCAAGCGUUAAUCGGAAUUACUGGGCGUAAAGCGCGCGUAGGUGGUUAGUUAAGUUGGAUGUGAAAUCCCCGGGCUCAACCUGGGAACUGCAUUUGUGACUGUAUAGCUAGAGUACGGCAGAGGGGGAUGGAAUUCCGCGUGUAGCAGUGAAAUGCGUAGAUAUGCGGAGGAACACCGAUGGCGAAGGCAAUCCCCUGGGCCUGUACUGACGCUCAUGCACGAAAGCGUGGGGAGCAAACAGGAUUAGAUACCCUGGUAGUCCACGCCCUAAACGAUGUCAACUGGUUGUUGGGUCUUCACUGACUCAGUAACGAAGCUAACGCGUGAAGUUGACCGCCUGGGGAGUACGGCCGCAAGGUUAAAACUCAAAUGAAUUGACGGGGGCCCGCACAAGCGGUGGAGCAUGUGGUUUAAUUCGAAGCAACGCGAAGAACCUUACCAGGCCUUGACAUCCAAUGAACUUUCUAGAGAUAGAUUGGUGCCUUCGGGAACAUUGAG
rnacentral:rRNA from 1 species